UCAUGUUUGAAGUCAGGCUCUUGAAGCCUUCUCACACUGGGGCUAUUGAUAGAGACUCAGCAAUGACUCAUUCCACUCUUUCUUUGCUAAUUUGCAGUUGGGCUCAACAUUUAGCCAGAUUCAACAUUUUGCUGUCUUUUGGAUGAAGGUUUUACUUGCUUAACAAGCUUCAGGGACCACCUUUAAACCGUGGGGAAUGGGCGCUAGCUGCUUGACUGUAUCCAUAUUUGGUACUUUGUGGUCUUGCUUCCAAUGAAUGCUCAAAACAGUUCUCUUACCAGCCAAGUUGUAAAUGGGGAGCCGCAGUCUCCAGACAAGAGACUGAGACAGCAUUCUGUGCUCAUAGAUCACACGAGAAGGGAAGAGUGGGGGCCAAUUCUGUUGCAGCAUGGAGGAGGCUCUCAUAGAACACCUUUGACUGCAGUACAUCAACUCUGCACUGUGGCGGCUGAAUGAUUCCCCAAAGACAUCAGAGAAGAUGGAAUACUGAGAAAUCAAAGAGAAGUAGAAGAUAAUCCUUGUUCUCAGAGGGCUGAAAGUCAACUCAUCUUCCUGAAGGAGAUUCCCAGGCAUCGGGUUUUGGAGACAUGAUUCCCCACAGUUAGAAGAUCAUUCUAAAUUCCCAUUUGUGCUGAGCCAGAGGGACCCUCGCAAAGGCAUCUGAGUGUCCUGGCAAUGUCUUUGGCCCCAGUGCCAUAUCAAGAGAUAACAUUUGCUCUUCCUGCCACAGACUCCCUGCUUGUAGCGGGACUGCU